GAUGAACGCUAGCGGGAGGCCUAACACAUGCAAGCCGAGCGGUAUUGUUUCUUCGGAAAUGAGAGAGCGGCGUACGGGUGCGGAACACGUGUGCAACCUGCCUUUAUCUGGGGGAUAGCCUUUCGAAAGGAAGAUUAAUACUCCAUAAUAUAUUGAUUGGCAUCAAUUAAUAUUGAAAGCUCCGGCGGAUAGAGAUGGGCACGCGCAAGAUUAGCUAGUUGGUGAGGUAACGGCUCACCAAGGCGAUGAUCUUUAGGGGGGCCUGAGAGGGUGAUCCCCCACACUGGUACUGAGACACGGCCCAGACUCCUACGGGAGGCAGCAGUGGGGAAUUUUGGACAAUGGGGGNAACCCUGAUCCAGCCAUG
rnacentral:rRNA from 1 species